rnacentral:pre_miRNA from 1 species
CUACUACUCCCUCCGUCCGAAAAUACUUGUCAUUGAAAUGGAUGUAUCUAGAUGUAUUUUAGUUCUAGACACAUCCAUUUUUAUGACAAGUAAUUCCGGAUGAAGGGAGUAUUAU